rnacentral:rRNA from 1 species
UAACUUUCAACAAUGGAUCUCUUGGCUCUCGCAUCGAUGAAGAACGCAGCGAAAUGCGAUAUGUAAUGUGAAUUGCAGAAUUACUAAGUGAAUCAUCGAAUCUUUGAACGCAUAUUGCACCCUCGUGGGUCACCACAGGGUAUACUUGCCUGAGAAUAUGU